rnacentral:rRNA from 1 species
AGUGGCGAACGGGUGAGUAACACGUAGAUAACCUACCUUUAACUCGAGGAUAACUCCGGGAAACUGGAGCUAAUACUGGAUAGGAUGUGUGCAUGAAAAAAACACAUUUAAAGAUUUAUCGGUUUAAGAGGGGUCUGCGGCGCAUUAGUUAGUUGGUGGGGUAAAAGCCUACCAAGACGAUGAUGCGUAGCCGGACUGAGAGGUCUACCGGCCACAUUGGGACUGAGAACGGCCCAAACUCCUACGGGAGGCAGCAGUAGGGAAUUUUCGGCAAUGGGGGAAACCCUGACCGAGCAACGCCGCGUGAACGACGAAGUACUUCGGUAUGUAAAGUUCUUUUAUAUGGGAAGAAAAAUUAAAAAUUGACGGUACCAUAUGAAUAAGCCCCGGCUAACUAUGUGCCAGCAGCCGCGGUAAUACAUAGGGGGCGAGCGUUAUCCGGAUUUACUGGGCGUAAAGGGUGCGUAGGUGGUUAUAAAAGUUUGUGGUGUAAGUGCAGUGCUUAACGCUGUGAGGCUAUGAAAACUAUAUAACUAGAGUGAGACAGAGGCAAGUGGAAUUCCAUGUGUAGCGGUAAAAUGCGUAAAUAUAUGGAGGAACACCAGUGGCGAAGGCGGCUUGCUGGGUCUAUACUGACACUGAUGCACGAAAGCGUGGGGAGCAAACAGGAUUAGAUCCCCUGGUAGUCCACGCCGUAAACGAUGAGAACUAAGUGUUGGCCAAACGGUCAGUGCUGCAGUUAACGCAUUAA